UUAAAUUGAGAGUUUGAUCCUGGCUCAGGAUGAACGCUGGCGGCGUGCUUAACACAUGCAAGUCGAGCGAUGAAGUUUCCUUCGGGAAACGGAUUAGCGGCGGACGGGUGAGUAACACGUGGGUAACCUGCCUCAUAGAGUGGAAUAGCCUUCCGAAAGGAAGAUUAAUACCGCAUAACGUUGAAAGAUGGCAUCAUCAUUUAACCAAAGGAGCAAUCCGCUAUGAGAUGGACCCGCGGCGCAUUAGCUAGUUGGUGGGGUAACGGCCUACCAAGGCGACGAUGCGUAGCCGACCUGAGAGGGUGAUCGGCCACAUUGGGACUGAGACACGGCCCAGACUCCUACGGGAGGCAGCAGUGGGGAAUAUUGCACAAUGGGGGAAACCCUGAUGCAGCAACGCCGCGUGAGUGAUGAAGGUUUUCGGAUCGUAA
rnacentral:rRNA from 1 species